CAGCACUUCCCUAGGAGACAGACAAGCUGACAGAAUUACACAUUCAACAAACAGGUAUCGGGUACCUAUUUAUGUGUCAAACUCUACUAGACACCCAGAUUCACAAGCCACUGCAAAAAUGGAAAGGUUAAAUAUUUGCCCAUGUAGACGCAAAGGACAAGAGCUGCGUGUGCUUCAGGGCUACAGAGGGUGGGGCUCUGCUGGGGGUAAUUCCGGUUAGGCCAAGUCCCACCCUAGCCCCGCCUACAGGUGACCUAACAUUCCAUCUGUCCAAUCCCGCUCACCAUAUUCCGUGUUGCCCCACCUCAGAUCUAGAUUUUUGCAGCCUUGUGGGACAGGUGGCGCCCCCAGAAUAAGGACAUUUCUGUUGCAGGCCAGCAGCUGUCACCUGAGAAAGAUUAAGAUUCUCCCACCAGGCGACAAGGCUUGUGGUGCCCGAGACAGAUACAGCUCAGAUUCCCAGGCUGAGGUCCACGGUGAGAAAGCAGUAAGGACAGCAGGAGGACAUGAAGCAUGCACCCUUUGGAGGUGAGAGGGUGGAGUUUAACAUUGCAGAGAGGGCUGAUGCUGAGGAAGGAGCUGUACUUGUGAAAGAGACCAGCAUCAGUACUGAGACACUUUCUGAGCUGCAUGGAGACAACAGGAAGUGUCCCUCAAGAGGCAAAACCCCAUGUGUUGAAGACUCUUGAAAAGCCAAAUUUAUUUGAAAGGAGAGAACCUGAACUGAAUACUACUGACUCAAAAACA